rnacentral:lncRNA from 1 species
GGAGAUUUAGUGGCACUUAUAGUUGUACUUUUUUUUUCCUAAUGGAGUGGGUUGUUGGUGCAUAUGGCUAAUGUGCUUUCAAAUCAAACUAGUUAAAAAAGUUUCUUUAGUGCUUAUUACUUUAACUUUCCAGGUCAUUUCAAAUUUUUAGAUUAAAUUACAAGUUUUCAGAAGCACACAAUGGCCUAAAUGUUUAUGCGGGA